rnacentral:rRNA from 1 species
GUCCACGCUGUAAACGAUGAUUACUAGGUGUUGGAGGAUUUGACCCCUUCAGUACCGCAGCUAACGCAUUAAGUAAUCCGCCUGGGGAGUACGGUCGCAAGAUUAAAACUCAAAGAAAUUGACGGGGGCCCGCACAAGCGGUGGAGCAUGUGGUUUAAUUCGACGCAACGCGAAGAACCUUACCUGGGUUUGACAUCCGCGGAAUCCUGCAGAGAUGCGGGAGUGCCUUCGGGAACCGCGAGACAGGUGCUGCAUGGCUGUCGU